rnacentral:rRNA from 1 species
AAUAGAUACCCGGGUAGUCCAUGCUGUAAACGAUGAGAACUAGAUGUUAGGGGGCAUGACCUCUUAGUAUCGAAGCUAACGCGAUAAGUUCUCCGCCUGGGGAGUACGGCCGCAAGGUUAAAACUCAAAGAAAUUGACGGGGGCCCGCACAAGCGGUGGAGCAUGUGGUUUAAUUCGAUGCAACGCGAAGAACCUUACCUACCUUUGAAUCCACGGAACCUAGCAGAGAUGUUGGGGUGCCUUCGGGAACCGUGAGACAGGUGCUGCAUGGCUGUCGUCAGCUCGUGUCGUGAGAUGUUGGGUUAAGUCCCGUAACGAGCGCAACCCUUGUCCUUAGUUGCCAUCAGGUUAAGCUGGGCACUUUAAGGAGACUGCCGGUGAUAAACCGGAGGAAGGUGGGGAUGACGUCAAGUCCUCAUGGCCCUUACAGGUAGGGCUACACACGUGCUACAAUGGGCAGUACAGAGGGAAGCCAACCCGGCGAGGGGGGAGCGAAUCUCAUAAAGCUGUUCGUAGUCCGGAUUGGAGUCUGCAACUCGACUCC